AUAACAAUACAGGACUCUUUAGAGGCCCUGUAAUUGUAAUGAGUACAGUUGAAAUCCUUUAACUCUGAUCAAUUGGAGGGAAGUCUGGUGCAGCACCAC
rnacentral:rRNA from 1 species